UAGCACUCGGUCCCUGAAAGUUUUCAUUUUUAUACAUGUGAACAUGCAACUCUUUUAUAAAAUGGAAACAGGCUUAAAGAACAGCCUGCCUAUUGGUUCUUAGCAUUAGAAACCUCCAGGUAGGUUCCUUGUUCCUGCUGAACAGGUGGUUUCUGUUUCGCAGAAUGGAGCAGCUGGUGUGCUUUGCUGCCAAAUUGUAGAGUUACAGGACACCUGAACAGAUGUACAAAUGCUCCAGAGGGCACGGAAUUCACACCAGUGGGGUUGAGGUGGCUAGGCUGACCUUGAACUCAUGAACUUCUUGAGCUCUGGGAGGAGCUCCUCCCAGACACCUGUGCACCUGUCUUCACGUUCCUGUGUGAAAAACAGUGGAGUACUAACGGAACAGAACGUCUAGAUGUUGUUAGGGGGAAAGAUGGCGUUCUGCCUGGCUGUACUAUGGAAAGCGGAGAUCACCUCACCUCUCCUCUGGAAGCUUCUAGAAGAUUCUAUUCUGGGAUAAAUUUGCAUUCAAGAGUUGAGCUGGGAGCUUGUUUCUGGGUGAGAAUGUGCUCUGAAUUCCAAGCAAGGCUUUCAGAAUUUCCAAGGAGUAAGAAGUCUGCGAGUCUACACGGGGACAUGGCUGGUUGGUGCCCUAAUGGUAGAUUCCCCAAAUACUUAGUCUUCAAGUUAGGGAUCUGUGAGUAAAAAGAGGGGGUUGAAAGAAGAGGACACGGGCCACAGUGAAAACCUGCUCAUUCUGCUGGCGAGAAAGAGACAGAAGGUUGUUGGUUACACUUGACGUAACAACAGCUAAAUCCAUGAUCCGUGUAUCAGUCGCUGUGAAAGGCUCUGCUUAUAUGACCUUAGUGCUAUCCCCAUGCUUCUGAGGUUGAGGAAUUAAACAGGAAGGUGAACGAAGCUGAAUCAAGGCCCAGGUCUGGGAACACAGCUUAGUUUGUCCCGUAUAUACAAAUUCCCCGGGGUCAGUUCCUAGCACUGCAUAAACCAUGGGUGAUGGAACAUGCCCAGAAUCCCCGCGCUCUGGAGAUGGGCGUGGGAAUCAGGCUUUCAAGGUCACUCUCAACUGCAUAAUUAAUUCGAGACUAGCCUGGGUUACAAGAGACCCUGCUUUAAAAAUAAAACAAACAGACCAAAUUAAGAUAUGCACAUAAUUAUCUCUCUGUAGGAGCUGCUCUGCACUUGCUGUUCCUUUGGAUUUGAAGCUCCUUUGCUAGUUAGGGGCCUCAGGUAGGCCAGGGAUGGUUAGCCACGCCUGAUGAUUCUCUGUUCAGUCUGCACUGAACAAUUCAGGACAGAACCCGAAUGUGUUCGCUUCCUUCUCUGAAAUAAAGCCUCUGUCUCUUGGGCAUUAAGAGGGCAUAGUCCCAUGACACAGUUUCCAGUCGAAUUUUGGCAUUCAUAAAGAAACCUUCCCCUUUUCAAGGGAGCCAGUCAGUGGGCAACCAGUCAAGAGCAGGCAGUAUUGGGGCAUUGAGACGAAAACAUUACCUGCCAACUAGGCUGCUGUGGGCCUAUUGUUUCUGAGGCCAGGGGGAAGGACGCAGAACAGAGGGGUUUUGUGCUGUCGGAACAUCUUUGAUGAACAAACACAUCUGUACCGAGUUGAAAAGGAAAAUGGGCCUGGCCACUUUCUUCCUCCCAGCUUUGCUAGGAGUUCCCGAACAUUCUCACAGUCAUGCAGCAGAAGUGUUACUUUGUUCAAACUGUAACCACCAUCCCGUAACCACCAUCCCGUAACCACCAUUCCGUGGGCUUCACCUGCCUUUUCUCCAGCUGGUCCCUCUUAGUUACUCAUCACUGCUUAUUCCUAACUUGUGGGUCCACUGUACUGAGACAGGGGGAAAGUGACUCAACAGAGUCAGGUAUCCCCAGAGACGUGUCUUCCAGAGUCCCGGGCCACCAAUGUAUUUUCAAUCAACAAGCCUGCAUUGAGCAGUCACCAGAGCAAACACUUCCUCAGAGGCAGAGAAUAGAAAGAGUCAGAGUCCAAAGAGUACACAAGGAGUCUCAGGAACAGUGCCCAGCUGCCUGACUUGCAGACCUUUGUGGUUCUUGUUUCCUUUUCAUUGUCUUCCAUGACCACAUACAUACAAACACACAUGUAUUAAGACCAUAUAUAUGUUUAUAUAUGUAUAUAUGUCAUCUAUAUAAGCAUACACACACACACAAAUACGUAUAUGGCAGAGAACUUCUCAGUCUUCAAAAUAUUGUUCUCACAGAGAAUACCGUUACCCAGAAAAUCGAGAGAGACACUAUUUCAGUCGAAUAUUAGAUGGUAAAUGGUUUCUCUGCUGGCCUGGAUCCCCAGAGGCUUGUAAUAUGAAGUUCGGAGUCCCAGCCUUCAUUCUUAGCAUGUGUAGAAAUCUUUUAAAAUGAUUUUGUAGAUAAAUGGAAAGUAGAAAAGCUUUGGUGUUUAACAGUAAAAACUUUUCUUGGCUUACAAAAACCCCCUUUUUUAGAGUCCUAGAGGACAAAAAAUAUCUGCAUAAUUAAAUCAAUGUAUCUUAUAUAAUAAAUAGCAAGUCAUAAAAUCCCAAAAAACCUGGCAGGGCAGCUCUGAGACAGAGGCUGCCUGACUCCUUGGGAGUUUGCUCAAUUGCUUAGCAGCCAUGAAAAUACUUACAAAAAGUUCCCACCAUUGUCCUUCCACAUCUAAUGGUCAGAAGGACACCAAAACAAAAUGAAACAAAAAUCUUAGAACUUGAAAAUCCACAGCC